CAGAUUUGGAAGGGAGUAUGUGUUUCACUUAGGACCCAGAGAAUGGGGAUAUAUGGGGUACUUCCCUAACAUUUAGACGCCCUGCUGUCUCCUAGUCUGGUCAUGAAUGCUUCUGAGGAGGUCUCAGGACGCUUGACGUCAUCAGGUGGAACCGCGCACGCACUUCCUCCCUCUGCCAGUUCUCAAGUCAGCACAGCCCCGGGACCCCACGGUGUGGAAACACCACCCCACUGGUUCUCCUAGGGCAGUGUGGACAUUGUUUGGCCAUCUUUUUCCAGCUCUCAAUUUUUUUUCUCAGGUGCAUCUCGAUGAGAUGAGACCCAGCAAAAGAAAAGAAACCUUAACCUGGGAUCGAAAAAAAGCAUUUGAAAUAAAAUCAAUCAUCUUAGAAUCAGGGCGUGGCAAAGGAACACUCAGGACUGUGGGUAGUGGUAGGACACACUCACAUGUCUCACACAGAUGUGCAAAGGAAAUAGAGUUUGUUUCUUAAAACUUACGCGAUCUUCCUUACCGACCGCACUCUCCUGGAUGGUAGUAGUUAGGGAAAGACGCGGAAACCAACUUUAAACUUGCCAAUUAACGCUAUUCCAGAACCUUGGGAUUUAAAUAGUCGCUCUCGGAUGACUUAGUUUCUUUUGGGAGUAUUGCUUCUCCAAAAAGGGCUCUAACAACCUCAGAGAUUGCAAUUCCUUACAUGCAAUGGAAUGCCAAUGGAUUUUCAGUGGAACUUUUAAACACAGGCAUUAAAUACAUGAGGACACAGCCAAUGUUAAUUCAGCCUGAACAAUGAAUUUGGAUGAUUAAAUUUGCAUGCCUGAAUAUGAGGCCCACUCUUGAAUAUGAAAAAUACCGAGGGACAGGAAUAGCAGAGAAACAACAGAGGAAAUAUAAAGCCUUCACCACCAUCAAAUUGUCCUGUGACAAGAAAAGCACUUAGCUCUUAAUGUACUGAUGUGGCUCAUUCAUAGGACCACACAUGUCUGGUGAUGCCCUUUAAAACUGUGCUGGGAUUUUCUCCUUCCAGCUCUUCCAUACUUGCCCCCACGCCUCCACCCCCCGACCCCCACCCCUGUCGCCAUUGCAGGCUCCAAAAGAGUCAUACAAUAAUACAAUGCCAUUUUUUGAUGUUUUAACAUCAAAGAAUGCUCUGUAUAUCAGUCAGCUUUAGAUUUUGUUUAGUAAAAACAAAAGACAACUCCAGAGUUUGCAGAGAUGAAGAAAUGGGACCAUUUGCAGAAUCAAAUGAUUUUAUGAAAAACCAUUUGUAUUUUGCGGGGAAGGUGUUGUUGAUUUCUACUUACGGCUUUAGAUGACAACUAUGUGUAUGUGUAUAUGUAUAUCUGUUUUCCUUGGGUGGCUUUUUCAAAGUGUUUUCCCAUCCCCUACUAAUUCCACAUACUUAUCUCAACCAAACAGCUUUGUUUUUGAAACACUGAAGCUCAACUUGAUAAAAAUAUAAAAUAAAAAUUCCAAUGGUUUUGUUGAAAACCAGACCAUUCACCUUUGUACAGAAAAUAAAUGUACUAGAGAUUUUAACAGCUUUUCAAAAUGCCAUGUAUCUAUAGGUAAUCUAGUACGACUUUUAAAAUGUGAAUAUAUUACUUUGUGAAAGAUUUGUAAACCAACUUCUUUAGUUAGAACAUAAAAUACAAUAUGUAGUGGCUUAUUUAAAUACUUAUUUACUUUUAAAAGAAGCUGGGAAGUUUUCUUUGAAAGGACCAAUGCAAACUGAUAUUUAAAUACAUUUAACUUUCAAGUAGAACGGUGUGAAAUUUUCUGGUCUUCUGAAGAUAUUACUGGCUUUCAUGAAGUGGCAGUGGCUCAGUUCCCAUCUUACUUCACACCAGGUGGAGCUUUUUCCCAAAGGAUAUAGCACACUUGGUUUCCAUCAUGAUUGUAAUAUUCACUGAGUGACUACUAUGCCACUGACUCGCAGUAUCUCACUUAACCUCACAGGAAAUUUCUGAGGUUGGUACUAUUACACUCCAUGACACAGAGGGAGAUAUGCAGGUUAAGAGAGGGUGAGGUCACACGGAGGCCACACCGCUGGUCAGUGGCGGAACCAAGGUUUGAUUCCCAGUCUCUUUCCAUUAAGUUGCAUUGCCUCAUGGAAUAGGCAGAGGGAUGAAUGCAGCAGAAAGAGCACUGAAUUGUGAGUCAGGAAGCCUGGGCUUUUACCUUUUUUUCAGCCAAUAGCUGUAUAACUCUAGGAAUGGAAUGUCGUUGUCAUUUCACAUUGAUGAGAGGGCUGGACCAAAUGCUGCCAAGGCUCCAUAAAACUCAUAGGUCUAUGAUUUAAAUGGACAUUGCUAUAUGAAAGCAUGCAUACUGAAGUCCAGGAGCUCAGUAAUUAUCUCCUAUGUAUAUCAGCCAAAUAAAAUGCUCCAGUUCUUUGCCUACUUAAAAAAGACAUUAAAUAUUACUGAAAAUCCAAA
rnacentral:lncRNA from 10 species